GACCACACGAGGCUUUGGGGGGACGUCUGUGUGUCCCGGACCCCUUUCUCUCUCCCAUGGCUUUGUGUGCCUGUGACCUGCACAGGGCACCAUGAGCGAGGCGCCACAGGUUUCUCUGCUGCCACUGCAGACCUGGCUAUGACCUCAGCAUGGGUCCCAGGGGUGCCCCAGAGAACAAAGCUGACGUACAGCAGCAUUGUGAUUCUCAUUUCCAUCACAAAAGGCCAGUAGAAAAACUAUGCAAUCGCACUAAACACUAUUUAAAAACACUUAAAACAUCCCGCUUCUGCUUCCGGGCUCCAAGUCCCUCAGCCACAGUUCCUCAGCCUCUCAGUACCUGCUGUGCUUGCUUUCUGACCUAGGCUGGCUGGGGGAGAGAACAGUCUGGCCCGCACAGCUCAGAUCCAGGUAGCUGACUCGGACAAGGAGCUACAUGAAGCUGAGUGGGCUGGUGCAGCCUGUGAUCCCAGCUCUCAGGAGGCUGAGGCAGGAGGAGCACUGAGCUACCACACACGAAGAGCAUCUUAGACAGCAGCGCACGGACAGCAGCGAGGAGACGCAGCAACAGCACGGUCAAGGCCACACGGCGUCAAGCGCGGCGGCUUACUUUCUCUCCGGCCGUGGGCAGCGCCAGCACCGCGCUCCAGCCCACAGGAGGCCCGGGCACUGGUGGCCGCAGCUGCGGAAUUCUGAGCUCCGCACUGUGAUCGCCCCGAAGGCAGCCGCCACCCAGCACAGGAAAAAGAACAGAAGACCCCAGGGAAAGGUCUCCAUUUGUCUCUGGACUUGGCAGAGGAUACGGCACUCGUAUAGAUGGCUUUCUCCAGGGCCCGCACCCCCGGGAAGAAUACAACUACUGGGUGAUGGCCCUGCCCUCUCUGGGCCCCUCUGGACCCCUCUGCCUGCGGACUGACGCACUCUCUGCCUGUCAUGAGUCACGUGACCUCGACCAGAUGAGGGUGCAGAAGCCACCGCCCUCACGAGGGGAAGGGUGCUCUUCUCCUUCUCUUCUCCUUCCCCCCACCUUCUCCCCAUCUCAUGGAUGCAAACCCCUGCCGACCCCGGAACACAGCAACACUGUCAGAGUGAGACCCAGGGACCAAGACCUCACAUCUGCUGGGAACAUGGGCCCAAGCAGGGGCGGGGACACCCUGUGCCCGGGCCGGGCGCUCACCUUGCCCCGUGACUUCUGUCUA
rnacentral:lncRNA from 1 species